rnacentral:rRNA from 1 species
GAUGAACGCUGGCGGCGUGCUUAACACAUGCAAGUCGAACGAGAAGUGAAGACGGAAACCUUCGGGCGGAAGGCUUUAUUUCGAGUGGCGGACGGGUGAGUAACGCGUGGGUAACCUGCCUCAUACAGGGGGAUAACAGUUGGAAACGACUGUUAAUACCGCAUAAGACCACAGCACCGCAUGGUGCGGGGGUAAAAACUCCGGUGGUAUGAGAUGGACCCGCGUUCGAUUAGCCAGUUGGCGGGGUAACGGCCCACCAAAGCGACGAUCGAUAGCCGAUCUGAGAGGAUGACCGGCCACAGUGGGACUGAGACACGGCCCAAACUCCUACGGGAGGCAGCAGUGGGGAAUAUUGCACAGUGGGGGAAACCCUGAUGCAGCGACGCCGCGUGAGUGAAGAAGUAUUUCGGUAUGUAAAGCUCUAUCAGCAGGGAAGAAAAUGACGGUACCUGAGUAAGAAGCCCCGGCUAACUACGUG